CAGCAGCCGCGGUAAUACGUAGGGUGCAAGCGUUAAUCGGAAUUACUGGGCGUAAAGCGCGCGUAGGUGGUUCGCCAAGUUGGAUGUGAAAUCCCCGGGCUCAACCUGGGAACUGCAUCCAAAACUGGCGAGCUAGAGUAUGGUAGAGGGUGGUGGAAUUUCCUGUGUAGCGGUGAAAUGCGUAGAUAUAGGAAGGAACAUCUGUGGCGAAGGCGACUAUCUGGGCCAUUACUGACACUGAGGCACGAAAGCGUGGGGAGCAAACAGGAUUAGAUACCCCCGUAGUCCCUGUCUCUUAUAA
rnacentral:rRNA from 1 species